rnacentral:rRNA from 1 species
CCUACGGGUGGCAGCAGUGAGGAAUAUUGGUCAAUGGGCGAGAGCCUGAACCAGCCAAGUCGCGUGAAGGAUGAAGGAGCGAUGGAUUGUAAACUUCUUUUAUAAGGGAAUAAAGUGAGGAACGUGAUCCUUUUUGUAUGUACCAUAUGAAUAAGCAUCGGCUAACUCCGUGCCAGCAGCCGCGGUAAUACGGAGGAUGCGAGCGUUAUCCGGAUUUAUUGGGUUUAAAGGGUGCGUAGGUGGUACUUUAAGUCAGCGGUGAAAGUUUGUGGCUCAACCCUAGAAUUGCCGUUGAAACUGGUUGACUUGAGUAUGUUUGAGGUAGGCGGAAUGCGUGGUGUAGCGGUGAAAUGCUUAGAUAUCACGCAGAACUCCGAUUGCGAAGGCAGCUUACUAGACUAUAACUGACGCUGAGGCACGAAAGCGUGGGUAUCAAACAGGAUUAGAUACCCCAGUAGUC